rnacentral:lncRNA from 1 species
AAUCAAAGACUGGGACUGCAAAGUGAAAGGUUUCCAGGUUCGGUUAAAUGUAUUCAAACAAAACACCUGCUGACACUUAGGCUUUCAAACACAAUUACCAAAGUAUUAAAACUAGCUGUGUUUAUGUCAUACAUGUGAAAUAUAUUCAAAACUGUGGUGAAAUUGUAACUUUAAUGGAAAAAAAAAUAAUUGCAUGUGAUUCGGGAACAAGAUUUGUGUGUGUGUGUGUGUUUAACCUGGCUGUAUCAUAAUGAUUUCUUCUAUCAUGUUUGCUUAUUCACCAGGUUUAGUCUCCAAUUGCAAAUGGAGCACACAAGAGAUUAACAACCCUAUGGAUUUAAUCUAAGGCUUUCUGAAAUGCUUCUCCCACACGUGCAAGCAAAGCAAUCAGCUGCUGGCUGGAGGCACGGGGCUUGGUGUGAGCUGCGUGUCUCCAGGUGUCAUGGAGAUGUUAAACAGCUGUCCUGUAUCUUUGCUGGCAAGCUGGGUGCUUACAGACCUUGAACUGAAUGAGCACCACAUCUUGCUACAGCUGGUCCAGAGCUGUGCAAGCAGCUAUUGAGCCACCAGCAGUCCAGUUACAUCACGGGCAAGAGCACUGCCUUGUGGAGGAGCCUGCCCAUGGUCAUGCAAGCCCUGCAGGCGUGGAGCUCAGAUGCCUGGAGUUGUUAGAGUUGAUAGGAACUGCAAGGGAGCAGAAGAGUUGCCAGACCAGGUCAUCUGCCUCCCAGCCUGCAAAGCCCAGCACUUGUGUCCUGUCUGGCAAGUCAGCUCGGGGGUCCUGCUGCCUUGCCUGGAUGUGUCUAUGCCAUGCAAUGGGGUCCUGUCCCCAGGACCCACUGUUUGCUCCUGUCCCUGUUCUGCCCCCUUGCUUGGGCUGCUGCAGUGCCCCAGGCUCACCCUGUGAAUCGGACCAGGUGACUGACACAGGUUAG